GACUCGACGGCGGAUGGUCCGCGUCUGUGCUUAGUAUCGAAUUUCUGUAAACACGAGCACCGUAGAAGACGCCUGUUCGAAUCAGGCUCGAGUCA